ensembl:lncRNA
UGCUCAUCUGCUGAGUGGUUGAACAUCUGCUGAGUGGUUGAACAUCUGCUGAGUGGUUGAACAUCUGCUGAGUGGUUGAACAUCUGCUGAGUGGUUAAAUGUUUGUGUUUCGAUGUAAGAAAUUAUUUCUUCACCUUUCAUCUUAUGUGGUGUUGGAGUCAUUACUUCAGAUCCAUGAUUAGUUACCACAAUAUGUGUGUGUUUCAGUGAGGUGGAUGGGAACCCAGACUAUGACAACCUGGACAUCAGUAUGUGUGUGUUUCAGUGAGGUGGAUGGGAACCCAGACUAUGACAACAUGGACAUCAGUAUGUGUGUGUUUCAGUGAGGUGGAUGGGAACCCAGGCUAUGACAACAUGGACAUCAGUAUGUGUGUUUCAGUGAGGUGGAUGGGAACCCAGACUAUGACAACAUGGACAUCAGUAUGUGUGUGUUUCAGUGAGGUGGAUGGGAACCCAGACUACGACAACCUGGACAUCGUAAACCGAGAUGCAGAGGAAAAGUACUUUGAUGAGGAGGAGGAGGAAGAGGAUGAAUCAGAAGAGAAAGAGAUGUCUCAGUAGUUGUCAUGACAGCAGCUGUUUAUGGCAUGUAAAUAUGAAACUAAC